UAGAUGCGAGAGUAGAGCAUAUCAAUAAGCGGAGGAAAAGAAACUAACAAGGAUUCCCCUAGUAACGGCGAGUGAAGCGGGAAGAGCUCAAAUUUGAAAUCUUAAAGGGUUUCCCUUUACGAAUUGUAGUUUAAAGAAGUGUUUUCUGUUGGAGUUUCGGUAAAAGUUCUUUGGAAUAGGACAUCAUAGAGGGUGAGAAUCCCGUAUUUGACCGUUACUUUCCAGCUGCGUGAUACACUUUCAAAGAGUCGGAUUGUUUGGGAAUGCAGUCCAAAAUGGGUGGUAAAUUUCAUCUAAAGCUAAAUAUUGGCGAGAGACCGAUAGCGAACAAGUACCGUGAGGGAAAGAUGAAAAGAACUUUGAAAAGAGAGUUAAACAGUACGUGAAAUUGUCAAAAGGGAAGCGUUUGACACCAGUGUUGUUUAGUUGAAAAUCAAUUCAAUAAUUUUUGAUUUUGAGUAGUAUUGACUUCAUCAGCUUGCUGCUUUCUUUUCCGAAAUUAUUGAAUGCACUUUUCAGUUAACAAGUCAACAUCAAUUUCUUUUGUUGUAAAAGGGUAAGAGGAAGGUGGCUUACGCUUCGGCGUAAGUGUUUAUAGCCUUUUACCUCUGCAAUCGGAGAGAUUGAGGACAGCAGCGUAGACUCCUUCGGGGGUUAGAUACACUUGUGCUUAAGCUAUAGCCUUGUAUAGACAACUUGUUGACUAUGCUCAGUCACGUAGCUUACUCGCUUGUGCUAUUUUACCUACGCUUAGGAUGUUGACACACGCGCGUGCUCG
rnacentral:rRNA from 1 species